AUUGAACGCUGGCGGCAUGCCUUACACAUGCAAGUCGAACGGCAGCACGGGUGCUUGCCCCUGGUGGCGAGUGGCGAACGGGUGAGUAAUACAUCGGAACAUGUCCUGUAGUGGGGGAUAGCCCGGCGAAAGCCGGAUUAAUACCGCAUACGAUCUACGGAUGAAAGCGGGGGACCUUCGGGCCUCGCGCUAUAGGGUUGGCCGAUGGCUGAUUAGCUAGUUGGUGGGGUAAAGGCCUACCAAGGCGACGAUCAGUAGCUGGUCUGAGAGGACGACCAGCCACACUGGGACUGAGACACGGCCCAGACUCCUACGGGAGGCAGCAGUGGGGAAUUUUGGACAAUGGGCGAAAGCCUGAUCCAGCAAUGCCGCGUGUGUGAAGAAGGCCUUCGGGUUGUAAAGCACUUUUGUCCGGAAAGAAAUCCUUGGCCCUAAUACGGGCGGGGGAUGACGGUACCGGAAGAAUAAGCACCGGCUAACUACGUG
rnacentral:rRNA from 1 species